UCUUCACAGUAGCGGCAUGCUUAACAUGCAGUCGAACGGUAACAGGUCUAUCGGAUGCUGACGAGUGGCGAACGGGUGAGUAAUACAUCGGAACGUGCCCGAUCGUGGGGGAUAACUACUCGAAAGAGUGGCUAAUACCGCAUACGAUCUACGGAUGAAAGCGGGGGAUCUUCGGACCUCGCGCGGACGGAGCGGCCGAUGGCAGAUUAGGUAGUUGGUGGGAUAAAAGCUUACCAAGCCGACGAUCUGUAGCUGGUCUGAGAGGACGACCAGCCACACUGGGACUGAGACACGGCCCAGACUCCUACGGGAGGCAGCAGUGGGGAAUUUUGGACAAUGGGGGAAACCCUGAUCCAGCCAUGCCGCGUGCAGGAUGAAGGCCUUCGGGUUGUAAACUGCUUUUGUACGGAACGAAAAGGUCUUUUUUAAUAAAGAAGGCUGAUGACGGUACCGUAAGAAUAAGCACCGGCUAACUACGUGCCAGCAGCCGCGGUAAUACGUAGGGUGCGAGCGUUAAUCGGAAUUACUGGGCGUAAAGCGUGCGCAGGCGGUUAUGCAAGACAGAUGUGAAAUCCCCGGGCUCAACCUGGGAACUGCAUCAGUGACUGCCUAGCUAGAGUGCGGCAGAGGGGGAUGGAA
rnacentral:rRNA from 1 species